rnacentral:tRNA from 1 species
GGGAAAGUAGCUCAGUUGGUUAGAGCGAGGCAUAGCGUCCGGGGUCGAUGGUUCAAAUCCAUCCUUUUCCA